GUGCUUGCUUUGGCUGUACAUAUACUAAAACUGGAAUGAUAGAGAAGAUUAGCAUGGCCCCUGUGCAAGGAUGACAUGCAAAUUCAUGAAACAUUCCAUAUUUUU